rnacentral:rRNA from 1 species
CAUGCAAGUCGAGCGGAAACGACAMYAWCRAWYCUUCGGRKGMKUUAAUGGGCGUCGAGCGGCGGACGGGUGAGUAAUGCCUAGGAAAUUGCCUUGAUGUGGGGGAUAACCAUUGGAAACGAUGGCUAAUACCGCAUAAUGCCUACGGGCCAAAGAGGGGGAUCUUCGGACCUCUCGCGUCAAGAUAUGCCUAGGUGGGAUUAGCUAGUUGGUGAGGUAAUGGCUCACCAAGGCGACGAUCCCUAGCUGGUCUGAGAGGAUGAUCAGCCACACUGGAACUGAGACACGGUCCAGACUCCUACGGGAGGCAGCAGUGGGGAAUAUUGCACAAUGGGCGAAAGCCUGAUGCAGCCAUGCCGCGUGUAUGAAGAAGGCCUUCGGGUUGUAAAGUACUUUCAGUUGUGAGGAAGGGUGUGUAGUUAAUAGCUGCRYAUCUUGACGU